rnacentral:rRNA from 1 species
GAUGAACGCUGGCGGCGUGCUUAACACAUGCAAGUCGAACGGGAAUUAUUUUAUUGAAACUUCGGUCGAUUUAAUUUAAUUCUAGUGGCGGACGGGUGAGUAACGCGUGGGUAACCUGCCUUAUACAGGGGGAUAACAGUCAGAAAUGGCUGCUAAUACCGCAUAAGCGCACAGAGCUGCAUGGCUCAGUGUGAAAAACUCCGGUGGUAUAAGAUGGAUCCGCGUUGGAUUAGCUUGUUGGCAGGGUAACGGCCUACCAAGGCGACGAUCCAUAGCCGGCCUGAGAGGGUGAACGGCCACAUUGGGACUGAGACACGGCCCAGACUCCUACGGGAGGCAGCAGUGGGGAAUAUUGCACAAUGGGGGAAACCCUGAUGCAGCGACGCCGCGUGAAGGAAGAAGUAUCUCGGUAUGUAAACUUCUAUCAGCAGGGAAGAUAGUGACGGUACCUGACUAAGAAGCCCCGGCUAACUACGUG